rnacentral:rRNA from 1 species
UACAGAGGUCCCAAGCGUUGUUCGGAUUCACUGGGCGUAAAGGGUACGUAGGCGGUCGGGUAAGUCUGACGUGAAAUCUUCAAGCUCAACUUGGAAACUGCGUCCGAUACUAUUCGGCUAGAGGAAUGGAGGGGAGACUGGAAUACUUGGUGUAGCAGUGAAAUGCGUAGAUAUCAAGUGGAACACCAGUGGCGAAGGCGAGUCUCUGGACAUUUCCUGACGCUGAGGCACGAAAGCCAGGGGAGCAAACAGG